rnacentral:rRNA from 1 species
GACGAACGCUGGCGGCGUGCUUAACACAUGCAAGUCGAGCGGUAAAGGCCCUUUCGGGGGUACACGAGCGGCGAACGGGUGAGUAACACGUGGGUGACCUGCCCUCAGCUCUGGGAUAAGGCCUGGGAAAACCGGGUCUAAUACUGGAUAUGACUCCAUGACGCAUGUUGUGGGUGGAAAGCCUUGUGCGGCUGAGGAUGGGCCCGCGGCCUAUCAGCUUGUUGGUGGGGUGAUGGCCUACCAAGGCGACGACGGGUAGCCGGCCUGAGAGGCGACCGGCCACACUGGGACUGAGACACGGCCCAGACUCCUACGGGAGGCAGCAGUGGGGAAUCUUGCGCAAUGGGCGAAAGCCUGACGCAGCGACGCCGCGUGAGGGAUGGACGGCCUCGG